UUCUGAGAUAGCACACAAAUGUUGCUAUGACAUCUAGCUAGCCUUCUGACAUUUGCUUUGGAUGGGCCAAGUUACUUGGUUUUAUGGGUUAUAGGUUCUUGUUUGCAGCUUGAGAUGAUAAAUUGGGCUUAUUGGUUAUUAGGCCAUAAAAUCAAAUUUUAGGAACUUCAAUUAAUUUAAAUUGAUUGACCAAUAUUAUUUGAUGCAACUUGAUGGUUCAUCGGUUUUCAUUUUUCUAGGUCUUAAAACACAAGACAUGAUAUCUUUAUCAGUGGGCACUUGGUAACUCAGCGGGUUCAAGCUGAAUAGUGGGUUCAAGCUGAAUGCUAUUGUCAGUUGUUUAACAUAAGGUGUUUGCAUUGUAAUUGCUGUUUCCACGGGGCAUCACUUCUUGGUGCCUUUAUUUUUAUCUUUCACAUUUAGUGCAGGUGAAACACCCAUUUUCCUCUGGUGUUUAGUCGUGUAUGAUUAAUCACCUCUUUGUUGCCUGCUAUUCUAUUCGUUUCCAGCAUCCUCUCCUUUCUAUUCGUAUGCAUACUUGAGCACUCAAACUUUGAUAUUCAAUCUUGCCAUACAUAUCAAAUGUUUGGAGUGGCAAUACUCAAGUGACAGGUUGUGAAAUUGGUACUGCUGUGUAUUGCUUGUUCACCGACUGUAAUAGUAUUGUUGACUUGAAGUCUUAUUUUCUGUUUUGAAGUCUUGGGUUAACUUAUAUGGCUCGCUGUGUUGCUCCGUUGCCUUUACAAUGCAAAUAUAUGCGUGUGUUCUCCGAUAAUCCUUGACAGGUUGGAACCAGCUGUUCCGAUUCGUGGCUGGGGCCUGGGGGAGCCUGAACCGGACUGGGGAGGGG
rnacentral:misc_RNA from 1 species